GAUGAACGCUGGCGGCGUGCCUAAUACAUGCAAGUCGAGCGAACAGACGAGAGUGCUUGCACUCUCUGACGUUAGCGGCGGACGGGUGAGUAACACGUGGGUAACCUACCUAUAAGACUGGGAUAACUUCGGGAAACCGGAGCUAAUACCGGAUAAUAUUUAGCUUCGCAUGAAGCAAUAGUGAAAGACGGUUCUGCUGUCACUUAUAGAUGGACCCGCGGUGUAUUAGCUAGUUGGUGAGGUAACGGCUCACCAAGGCAACGAUACAUAGCCGACCUGAGAGGGUGAUCGGCCACACUGGGACUGAGACACGGACCAGACUCCUACGGGAGGCUGCAGUAGGGAAUCUUCCGCAAUGGACGAAAGUCUGACGGAGCAAUGCCGCGUGAGUGAAGAAGGUUUUCGGAUCGUAAAACUCUGUUGUAAGGGAAGAACAAGUACGUUAGUAACUGAACGUACCUUGACGGUACCUUACCAGAAAGCCACGGCUAACUACGUG
rnacentral:rRNA from 1 species